GAUGAACGCUGGCGGCGUGCUUAACACAUGCAAGUCGAACGAGAAGUGGAGACGGAAACCUUCGGGCGGAAGACUUUACUUCGAGUGGCGGACGGGUGAGUAACGCGUGGGUAACCUGCCUCAUACAGGGGGAUAACAGUUGGAAACGACUGUUAAUACCGCAUAAGACCACAGCACCGCAUGGUGCGGGGGUAAAAACUCCGGUGGUAUGAGAUGGACCCGCGUUCGAUUAGCCAGUUGGCGGGGUAACGGCCCACCAAAGCGACGAUCGAUAGCCGAUCUGAGAGGAUGACCGGCCACAUUGGGACUGAGACACGGCCCAAACUCCUACGGGAGGCAGCAGUGGGGAAUAUUGCACAAUGGGGAAACCCUGAUGCAGCGACGCCGCGUGAGUGAAGAAGUAUUUCGGUAUGUAAAGCUCUAUCAGCAGGGAAGAAAAUGACAGUACCUGAGUAAGAAGCCCCGGCUAACUACGUG
rnacentral:rRNA from 1 species